rnacentral:rRNA from 1 species
UACAGAGGUCCCAAGCGUUGUUCGGAUUCACUGGGCGUAAAGGGUGCGUAGGCGGUCGGGUAAGUCUGAUGUGAAAUCCCUCAGCUUAACUGUGAAACUGCACUGGAUACUAUCCGGCUCGAGGAAUGGAGGGGAGACUGGAAUACUUGGUGUAGCAGUGAAAUGCGUAGAUAUCAAGUGGAACACCAGUGGCGAAGGCGAGUCUCUGGACAUUUCCUGACGCUGAGGCACGAAAGCCAGGGGAGCAAACGGG